rnacentral:rRNA from 1 species
GGAGCAACGGAUAGUGGGGGAACCUGGGGACCCAGGCUAAUACCGCAUACGUCCUACGGGAGAAAGGGGGCUUCGGCUCCCGCUAUUGGAUGAGCCUAUGUCGGAUUAGCUAGUUGGUGAGGUAAAGGCUCACCAAGGCAACGAUCCGUAGCUGGUCUGAGAGGAUGAUCAGCCACAUCGGGACUGAGACACGGCCCGAACUCCUACGGGAGGCAGCAGUGGGGAAUAUUGGACAAUGGGGGCAACCCUGAUCCAGCCAUGCCGCGUGUGUGAAGAAGGCCCUCGGGUUGUAAAGCACUUUCAGCGAGGAAGAACGCCUAUCGGUUAAUACCCGGUAGGAAAGACAUCACUCGCAGAAGAAGCACCGGCUAACUCCGUGCCAGCAGCCGCGGUAAUACGGAGGGUGCAAGCGUUAAUCGGAAUUACUGGGCGUAAAGCGCGCGUAGGUGGCUUGAUAAGCCGGUUGUGAAAGCCCCGGGCUCAACCUGGGAACGGCAUCCGGAACUGUCAGGCUAGAGUGCAGGAGAGGAAGGUAGAAUUCCCGGUGUAGCGGUGAAAUGCGUAGAGAUCGGGAGGAAUACCAGUGGCGAAGGCGGCCUUCUGGACUGACACUGACACUGAGGUGCGAAAGCGUGGGUAGCAAACAGGGAUUAGAUACCCUGGUAGUCCACGCCGUAAACGAUGUCGACCAGCCGUUGGGUGCCUAGAGCACUUUGUGGCGGAAGUUAACGCGAUAAGUCGACCGCCUGGGGAGUACGGCCGCAAGGUUAAAACUCAAAUGAAUUGACGGGGGCCCGCCACAAGCGGGUGGAGCAUGUGGUUUAAUUCGAUGCAACCGCGAGAACCUUUACCUUACCCUUGAACAUUCUACAGAAGCCGGGAAGAAGAUUCUGGGUGGUGCCUCCGGGA